rnacentral:rRNA from 1 species
UACGUAGGUAGCGAGCGUUGUCCGGAAUGACUGGGCGUAAAGGGUGCGUAGGUGGUAUGACAAGUUGGUAGUGAAAUUCCGAGGCUUAACUUCGGCGCUACUACCAAGACUGUUAAACUCGAGUACAGGAGAGGUAAGUGGAAUUCCUAGUGUAGCGGUGGAAUGAGUAGAUAUUAGGGGGAACACCAGAGGCGAAGGCGACUUACUGGCCUGCUACUGACACUGAGGCAAGAAAGCGUGGGGAGCAAAC